rnacentral:lncRNA from 1 species
GUGUUCACUAUGAUGCUAUAUGAUGAGAUCAUAUUCAUUAUUUCAUAAUUAAAAUAUGAUGUAUAUAAUUAUGGAAUGUUGCUUUGUCAUAUUGAAUUGUGUUCACUAUGAUGCUAAUUUCUUUUAUUCAUGUAUUUAUUAUGAUAUAGAAAUUAAAUAUGCAUUGAGACCUGAAAAACCCUCUGUAAAAUGAUAUUAAGUUGUAGUGUAAUUAAUCAAUAGCAGAACCAGUCUAUGAUGUCUAAUUGAUCAAUCGGUGUCUAGAAAAGUGGUUCAUGAUUGGUAAAAAGAAUGGGGUUUCUAAUUGGUUUCGUUGCCUGAUCUGGCCAAAAUUUAUUGGUAUCUAAGGAAAGCAACGGGGGGACCCCCACCUCUCUUCCACUUACCUGGCUGAUUAGAUUAAUUUAAUUCUUGGCUGGGAUGCUCGGUGUUAUAUUCACUACAUUAUGGCCUUCCUUCAUGCUAGGAUAUUAUUAUGUCACGAACCAUAUUAGGUUUGUUAUGUAACCAUAAGAUCAAUUAUGGAAACUGACAUAAUAUUGUUCUGGCGCAUCGAGAUGCUUACAGCAAUUUUUGAGUAUAAUGCUUUGUUGUGUAACCACAAAAAUAUUUAUAUUCUAUUUUGACUGAAUUAAAAUGAAGGGUCCUACUUAACUAAAAUAUUAUGGUCUGUUGUGUAAACACAAGGCUAUUAAUGUUUUAGAGGCCAGGGUUUUUAUUGAGAAUUGCAUAAGAUGCAAUUGGAAAGAG